CUCGACUAAGAGCGAGGCUGUGCAAUUGAAUCGGCGCAGUAUUCACAGACCCGCCACCUGCACUAGGACUGCCACUGAAUGAAAGACUCAAAAUUAAGUCUCCAUAUAAGAAGACGACAGCACAGAGAUUUUAGGCAGCAUUUCUAAAAAAUAAAAAUUGGAGACUGCCUGAUCGGAACAGAGAUCACAGUUCCCUUGGAGAGUUCAUCAAUGAGCUUGACGCCUUGAUAAGUUCCUUUCCUGAGGAUGGCUCACCUCUCACAGUUCUGGACCAUUUCCGGAGACCUUCUCCCCUUCCUCACCUCGCUCAUCA
rnacentral:lncRNA from 1 species